rfam:Gracilibacillus kekensis strain CGMCC 1.10681 genome assembly, contig: Ga0079828_102
CUCUUAUGUAGAGUGGUGGAGGGACUGGCCCAAUGAAACCCGGCAACCUUAAGCAAAUGCUUAAAAGGUGCUAAAUCCUGCAAACAAUUGUUUGAAAAAUAAGAG